AUUUGAGGGAGGGGAUUGCGAAAGUUUCGAGAAUCGCAAGUUUAAUCAAUCAAGGCUAUUUAAUAAUUGCUUGCUGACGCAGUAACUUCAUGUUUUAUAAUACGAAAGUUAUCAAACUUACGUCAGUGAUUUUGAGCUGAACUUUAACUGAACUUUACCGAGAGCUUUAUCAGGCUUUUUCGCAAAAAUGUCGUCCACCCGCGUCUCUGCCAACGCUCUGCCAAUAUGAAUUAUUAUUUCGUUGUUACAUCAGAAAAUUUAACGACGCCUCCUUCGACGCCGAUCGAUGUCGUUGGCGGGGACUCCUUCCUCCGCCUGACGAACAGAGCGAAAAUUACAUUAGCAUGAAGUACGGAAUAUACAAGGUAAUAAUAAAUUUGCCGAUACAAUUGGAGGUACUGCUCUUCUGCUGCUGCUGCAUCUGGAGGUACUGCAUCUGAAUUCGCGAUACAUACUUUUCUUUUGGAGGUACAAGACUCCGAGUUCGUACCUCGUGUAUAUAAUACGAGGUACAAAAUAUUGCGUAUGUACCUCGUAUAUUUAUAAAUACAAGGUACUCAGCGGUAAAAAUGUAUCGCCUGUUUGGCAAGUCCUUGAUUAAAUGACAAGACAAUUGAUUAAAGA